rnacentral:rRNA from 1 species
UCUGUGAACUCCUACGGGAGGCAGCAGUGAGGAAUAUUGGUCAAUGGGCGAGAGCCUGAACCAGCCAAGUCGCGUGAAGGAUGACUGUCUUAUGGAUUGUAAACUUCUUUUAUACGGGAAUAACAAGAGCCACGUGUGGCUCCCUGCAUGUACCGUAUGAAUAAGCAUCGGCUAACUCCGUGCCAGCAGCCGCGGUAAUACGGAGGAUGCGAGCGUUAUCCGGAUUUAUUGGGUUUAAAGGGUGCGUAGGCGGCCUGUUAAGUCAGCGGUGAAAUCUAGGAGCUUAACUCCUAAAUUGCCAUUGAUACUGGCGGGCUUGAGUGUAGAUGAGGUAGGCGGAAUGCGUGGUGUAGCGGUGGAAUGCAUAGAUAUCACGCAGAACUCCGAUUGCGAAGGCAGCUUACUAAGGUACAACUGACGCUGAAGCACGAAAGCGUGGGUAUCAAACAGGAUUAGAUACCCGAGUAGUCCAUCAGCG